rnacentral:tmRNA from 1 species
AUGCUUGACAUUCUAGUUGAUUUGUGUACAAUAGUCCACGGUGCAAGGAGUGGUCGUGCUUAAGGUAUGGCGGACCCGGGGGCAGUACCCGGCGCCUCCACCAUCGAGCGCAGAUAGAGUAUGUGUCCUGAGCCAGAGGGCUGUGACGGAACAUGCUUGAAAGGGAGGCGGGCGCUGAGUCCGUCGAGUUCCUUUCUGCGCUUUAUUGUGGGGGCGAAACAGGCUCGACGGUAUGUCGAAAGCCGGCUAGGGUCCCGCGAGGGAAAACCCAGCUUCGAAGCGCCAUUCAAACGCCAACGACAAUGCGUUUGCGCCGCAGGCGCUCGCUGCCUAAGCAGCAUGCCUAAAGCGGGGUUCGGGGGCACCUGGCAACAGAAGCUCCCACU